GUGCCUGAGGGCACACAGUGUGUUGUAGAUGUGUGGUAGUGGUGGAGUAGGGGCCUGAGGGCACACAGUGUGUUGUAGAUAUGUGGUAGUGGUGCAGUAGGGGCCUGAGGGCACACAGUGUGUUGUAGAUAUGUGGUAGUGGUGCAGUAGGGGCCUGAGGGCACACAGUGUGUUGUAGAUAGGUGGUAGUGGUGCAGUAGGGGCCUGAGGGCACACAGUGUGUUGUAGAUAGGUGGUAGUGGUGUAGUAGGGGCCUGAGGGCACAGUGUGUUGUAGAUAGGUGGUAGUGGUGGUGUAGGGGCUUGAGGGCACAGUGUGUUGUAGAUAGGUGGUAGUGGUGGUGUAGGGGCCUGAGGGCACACAGUGUGUUGUAGAUGUGUGGUAGUGGUGGAGUAGGGGCCUGAGGGCCACAGUGUGUUGUAGAUAUGUGGUAGUGGUGGACUAGGGGCCUGAGGGCACACAGUGUGUUGUAGAUAUG
ensembl:lncRNA